rnacentral:lncRNA from 1 species
ACGAGGAAGAAGGUGGUCGGCGACGAAGGCGAGCAAGGGCAUGGGAGAACAGAGCGAGGAAGAGAGUGAGAGUGAGUGUGAGUGAGAGAGAGUGAGCGAGAGGAGCCCGGCCGGCUCGGUCCUUUUGACCCCGGUCGGAACGAAUUGCUCUAACGGCCGUCCGCAUGCGCGCCGUCAUCCCCUGGCCGACAGAAGCCCGACGGGCGGGCCCUACAUGUCAUAAACGCAAUUAAAAUGUAACCGUUCGGCCACUUGGGUUUUUAAAGCAGCGUACCACUUUUGCGGUAGUUUUUUGAAAGAUUAAAAAGAGUGAUAGUUUUCUAUGGUCAACACAUGUAACGUGGUAAUUUUUUUGCUACAUACUCUUUUUGUGACAAUGCCAAUUAUAUCAUAUAGGGAACACAUGUGCAGGCAGACUCCUCGUUGUCGAUGGGAACAACGGCCUCACAAAAAGAAAAUCUGCAGUCCAUUCUGAAGAGAGACAAACUUGAAUGGGUUAUUUGAUUUUUCUUAGAAAAAGCUUCUAUCAUGUGGUCAACCUAUGUGCCGUGUUUCACUCACGAUGCCUAUUGCUCCUCCAACUAUUGGAACUCCCUGCCGGUCUUUCCCUCUUCCUAUGAAAGUAAAAUAACAUGUGAUACUCGAAAAAAAACUAGUGGAUUAUUAAGCUGACAACGCAUCCGCUCAGAAUACGGAGAGAUGCACAAAAUGGAUUAUUGGCACUAACGGCUGGAUAUUAUUCUCAACAGAUGCAAGGUGUGCAAAGCCUAUAAAAUUCAUUAUGUCAUGUUAGCACUAAGCUAGAACUGCAGCACAUGGUCACAGGUCACUGUGCCACCCCCUGACACCCUUAUAAGUCGUGAUGUACGAGACCACGUAUAUCAUUCCUACACAAAAGAUGCUAACAAAAUGGGUUAGCUGUCCUAGCUAAAAAAAAUGCGAAAAAGGGGGUGCCCUAAGCCCCUAACUAAUUUGUUCCCUAGAUGCUAUAAAUACCCUCUCCAGCUUCCUCUCUAUUAAUACAGCCCCAAAUCUCUCUCUCUCUCCAUGGCCAUGGAUCUCCCCUCCAAUUUCGAGUUGGUUGAUAACAGUACACUCACUGAAAUCACAAAGUUUACAAUCAAACACGUGUACUUGCAUCACAUCUAUUCCGGGCCAAACCCAAAUCAGUUACAAUUAAUAGCCGGCACUAAUGGGUUUGGCUCGACUUUUGUUAACAGUUGGGAAAUAUAUGAUGGGGUCGGCCCUAAGGCACAUGUGAUUGCCCGUGCGGAUGGUCUACAUAUGCAUUCUAAGAGUUGGCACAAUUCGUUCUCCAUGUUGUUCGAGGUUGAAAGGUAUGUACUCCCUCCGUUCCUAAAUAUAAUUUUUUAAGAGAUUUUACUAAGUGACUACACACGAAGCAAAAUUAGUUGACCUAUACUUUAAAAUAUGUUUAUACAUUCGUAUGUAGUUCAAUAGUGAAAUCUCUAAAAAGACUUGUAUUUAGGAACGGAGAGAGUAGAAGAUUAACUUGUAUUUGAUGGUGCACCGUGUAUUUUUUUCCCAGAUGAUCACUCCAUUCCGUAUUUAGGCCAUUCUUUUAGUCACUGCCUUAGCGAUAGGAACAAGCACCCAUCCCAUUUUAUUGAUGACAAUAAUUACCGCUUUCUUGGAAGCGCACUAGAAACUGUCCUUUAAAUGGUAGGAUGGAGGUUGGUUCCAACCUACGAUCCUUGGUAGACGCCUAGGUGCCCCACACCUUCUAUUAAUAUAAGAGCAUCUUCAACAGUUCGUAUGUUCACACGUUGAUAUAAGUUUCCACAUCAACAACCAACAACACAUCAUACAAGGUCUUCAAUGAAGUGUAUGUUAAUCGUAUGUAAGAUAACUAAGCGGGUUCACUAAACAUGAAAGAAAUAACCAUGCUUGCCUCGGAGCUUGUGCGUGAACCGUUGUUUCAAGUUCAUACGAUUGCAUUCUCUCUCUCCUUUUAUUAUGCGCCAUGUCAUUAAAAUCAUUUAUGUGGUAAUUUUACCAACGAUGAUCAUACAACCAUUGAAGAUGCCCUAACAAUUUCCACCCUUUGUAGUUCAUUUUUUAAUUAAUGCAUUACUGUAGACUUUUGGUGCAUGAUAGCUAUGAUGUGCAACUGAUUUCGCAGGUUUAAGAACUCCACUCUUCAAGUUCUGGGGUCAUCCGUUGAGAAAGAAGGUGAGUGGGCUAUCGUGGGUGGGACCGGUGAAUUCGCAAUGGCACGUGGCGUCAUCAAGAUAAAAGUACAUGAGAAAAUACCUGGUGGAGAAAUACUUGAGCUUGAUAUCCUUGGAUAUUGUACUAUGCCGGUUAGGGGAAUAUUCAACGCCCUUUGUUUUUAUGUAUGUUAUUUUGCUAUUUAGUAUGAUUUUCACAUGCAUUGCACUUGCACACUACGCAGAGCCGUGCUCUUGCUGUUACGAAAAGUGAAGCAUGGGGUUCAAACGGAAAUUUCGUUCAUGACAUCAACGAAAAACCUUUGCGUCUACGGAGUGUGACCGUUCGCACCAGCGACCUCUUCGAUGGAAUUAAGUUUACUUACAUUGACCAAACUGGGCAGACUCGUACCGAAAACCUAUGGGGUUUUAGUCAAGAUGGAUCGGAGCACACAGUGAGUAUUUGUUUUCAGAUUUAAUUAUUUUUUCUCAUGCAUGCCUUUUUUUUGUUUUUUGAAAAGGAUGAAAAUCUACGGAGAACCUAAAAAAAUAAAUACAUGAACCAACACAAAGCCAUCUGUCUGUCAACUAUUACCGCUACACCUACAAUUCUGAUAAGAUGCCUUCACCAAAUAUCAACACACUGCAUCUAUUCGGGUGGCCUAAUCAAGCCUCCCUCUGGCAUGCAUGUGCACGGGACAUAUAUCACUCAGUGAGAAUAUUUUUCUCCCUAUUGUUUGCAGGUCACACUUGGUCCUUCAGAGUUUCUGAAGGAAGUAUCCGGUGUAAUUGAUAACUCCAAUGAGCCGAACUAUUUUGUACGGUCAAUAAAAUUGGUCACCAAUCAAAGAGAGUUUGGACCUUUUGGUGGAGCUCAAGGUGGUACUGAGUUCAAAAGCAGGGUGCCAGAGGACAGCAUGAUUGUGGCUUUCCAUGGCAGCAGUGGCGAUAAUUGGCCCGGCCAUUAUAGGAUGCACUCGAUCGGUGUUUACUCGAUUCCUCGGAACGUCCUCACUACCUAGUAAUACUGCUGCUGAUUGCGGCUCUUUUAGCCAACGUGUUUGUUUAAUUUGUUUGGUUCCAACAAAAGAUGGUCAGGGUCAUAUCCUGCCAGCCAGUAAUCCGAGUUCUUGUCAUGUCGAGUCUUUUGUUUUUAACUCCACUCUUUGCUGGGAAUCAAAUGUUGUAAUGUUUCAAUACAUGAUUUACGUUUUGGUAUUUCACAUCACUCUCUGCUUCGAAACAUAUGUAGUGUCAUGUUAGAGCAUAUCUAGAGACGGACUCCCAAACCACUCCCCUCACCCCUACAGGGCGGAUGGCCCUGUCAAUGAUCGGCAAAAAAUAAAACAGACCAAAAUGGGCUCCUCAUACCGGUUCUAAACGCACACUGACCAACACUCUUCACAUCCAGCAUGAAUCUCGGGCAGAUAUGGGGAGGUCCGGGCACAUCCAUCAUGUCCUAGGUGUCGAGGCAACAAAUCUGACAAUGAGUACUGGACGUGCGAAUAGAGGCAGAACCUAGCUACGACACAGGUGUGACAUUCACAUUUACGAGUUCAGACCCCUCACGGAGAGGUAAUAGCCCUACGUCUCGAGCUUUGGAGCUAUGUUUUUUUUCUCAAGAGGUGUCUGAUUACAAUAGAUUGUGAACCCUUGUCAUGGCGCCGGAGAGGGUCUUAUAGAGAGUACACCCAUACUCAUUAAUGCUACUCCCUCCGUUCCUAAAUAUAAGACCUUUUAGAAAUUCCACUAUGAACUACAUACGGAUGUAUGUAGUCAUAUUUUAGGAUGUAGAUUCAUUCAUUUUGCUCCGUAUCUAGUCCAUAGUGUAAUUUCUAAAAGGUCUUAUAUUUAGGAACGGAGGGAGUACGUUACAAGGGGAGAUAAGAGGAGGAGUAACUAUGGGCGUUACUGGUAACUGCCUCUAUAACUAUAUUUGAAGUCCAACGUUAAGCCUCUCAAACAUUAUAGCUCACACAUUGUCUCUGCUCCGAGUGUCGUUGGUAAGGCCGACUGGUGGGAAGACGACCGAGUGGCUAGACCAUAUCCGAGUGGAUAUCCUGGGGUGCGCAUCUGAAUGCGCCUAUGGUCCGAAGACCUUUCAAUUACGGUGUGGGACCCUAGGUGGGCCCCAGAUGUCAGGUCUAUGACCCUAUCCUUAAUAGGUGACCCAUCAUUAAUCCUCGAAUCGGCUGAGGUUUCGUAGGACGAGUUGGAUGAACUCUUGACUUGGACCUAGUGCUUCGGAAGCGCUCAAGAUCCGUCGCCAAGUGAUAACCUAUCGUGGCCUGAGCGAAACUGCAACGGAUUCUGGACUAGGAAUUUCCCGCCUGAUCGAUCGGGUCAUGUUGACUGCAGGUCAAAACUUGGUGCCAUUCGUACAUCUCUCGGAAGAGAUAGACUAGGGGCGUGUUUGGAUGGGUGCCUCGCACCUGGCUCGCAUCACGGAUGCAGAAUCCAGCUCGUUUGGUUACCUGUGUGGCCUCCUCGGCCAGGCCCGACAGAUGCAGAAAGAGGCCUCGCAGGAAUCUAGCGUUUCUCUGAUGCAUCCUCACGCCUGCACCCGCGGCUCCACUUAAAACGAAACGGUAUAUGGGAUCGACCUCGUCAUUUUUCAGAAUUACAUCAAUACUGCCACCGAAACCAACCGUGUAUCUCUCUUUCCUCACCUCUCUCUCACGCAUCAGAUCGGAUCGAACAGGCAAACCAUUCGCCGUCAUGGUGGUCGGAGCUCCCUUUUGUGCCGUCGGUUGAAUCUUCCUUGUCCCCAGCCGGUGAGCUUCCCUGUCCGCCUCAAUCCUGCCAUUUGAACUCCUUUCGGGAGCUCCCUCGUCCACCGUGACCUACUGCCGGACAUCUGUGCUCCUCCGCUCGCGGGCUUAGUCUGCGUCAAGGGCGGAGGCCCCGGCUGUGCCGGCUCGGCAAGACCACUCGCGUUGGUGGCGGCUUGAUCUGGUCAUCGAAUUUUCGUCACUAUAAUGCUUUGGGGAAGUACUUGGUUGACUUCUCAUACAACCUACCAAACAAUAUCUCACAUUAGUCUGCCCCACGCCAUGCACACAACCAAACAUACAUCUGAACUCAGUUUUGCAUCAGAUUGGCCAGGCUAGACUCAACCAGGAUGGUAGAUACGAUGCAGUUUGAGGCUACGCAAGGAACCAAACACGCCCUAGAGGUUUGAAUGCCGGUGUGUGGGCUAACUCUCCGGAGAGACAUCACUCAUUAUCUGAGAGAACGCUAGCACGGGUCAUCUCCAAGUCCAAGUUAAUAAGACUCAUGCCAUGAAACCUAGAAAAAAUGCCUAGUUAAUCCGCAGAGGACCAUCGAGCUCAUCCCAUUGCAGUCCUGAAGUUGACUUCAGUCGCUUUGGUUACGUGCCCAAGUGCACGGUGACCCCCAGAGGGUAUUCGGCGGACCGAAGAGUGUUCCUUCGGAAAGGAAUUAAAAACAAUCAAUCGGAUUGAAUCGCAACAGAAAUUUCGCGAUUUGAGGAAGGUACAUGCGCACGGAUUACGUCACGGUUAGUGGAGAACGUGACGUACUGAUACAUCUCUAAUGUAUCUAUAAUUUUUUAUUAUUUCAUACUAUUAUAUUAUCACGGUAGGAUGCUUUUUAGGCAUUUACUUGCUGAUUUAUAUUAUUUUGAAGCGUUAACCUACUAACCUAGUGUCAAGUGUCAGUUGCAAUUUUCUACAUGUUUUUGGCUUUUCGAAAAUACUAUACCAAACAAAGUCUAAAUUCCCUGAAACUUUCCGACAUUUUUUUAUGCAUAGAAUAAGGACCUGGAAGCUUCGGAUGGAGACCGGAGGCCCCACGGGGUGGCGCCAAGCCAACAGGAUGGGCCCAGGGUGGUGGUCGCACCCUGAUGGCUUGGGGCCACCUUCUUUGCCCUACGGCCCUCCUCUUUGUUCUAUAAAUUCACAUGUUCCCGAAAAAACCUAGGAAGCCACCUGAAACACUUUUUUCAUUGUCCCAAGUCUUUGUUUCGUCGUAUGCCCAUCUGGAGCCAUGUUCUGAUGCCCUGCCGGAGGGGGGCCGAUCACGGAGGGCCUCUACAUAAACCUUGUUGCUUCCAUGAUGAUGUGUGAAUAGUUCAUCACAGACCAACGGGUCCAUAGUUAGUACAUAGAUGGAUAUCUCUCUCUAGGUUCUUCGUUGCCAUGAUCAUCGCGAUUUUAUCUUAUGUAAUCACUUUAUGCGGUGAAUUUGUUGGGAUCGGAUGAAUUGUGGGUUUAUGUUCAUAUUAUUCAUGAAAUAUAUUUGAGUCUUCUCUGAAUUCUUGUAUGCAUGAUUGUGAUAGCUUCGUACUUUUUUCCGAUCUAUUGACUUCGUUUGUCCAACUAGAUUGAUCAAUCCUCCGUGAGAAAGGUGCGUUGUAGUGGGUUGAAUCUUGCAGUGCUCAAUCCCAGUGAAAGAAAGGGACAUGACACGUAUUGUCUUGUUGCCAAUAAGGGUAAAAUGAUGGAGUCCAUUCAUAUUAAUAGGAUUUACUUUGUCUACGUCAUGUCAUUGUUUUCCAAGCAUUACUCGUUUCACUUAAUACUCUAGAUGCAUGCUAGUAGCUGUCGAUGGCAGGAGUCAAUCUACUUGCUUAUGGAUGUGAUGCCUAUAUGUAAUGACCAUUUUCAUGAAUAAAUAUUGCAUAACUAUGCGCUUUUCUAUCAAUUUUUCGACAGUAACAUGUUUACCCACCGUAUGUUUUCUACAAGAAAGAAGCCUCUAGCGAAAGCUAUGCCCCCCGUGUCCAUUCAUAAAUAUAUUUUUCAAAAAUACUAAAUACCUCGCUUCCUUUUUUAUUUAUAUUUAAUUUUUAUAUUUAGUAUAUUUAUACUAUCUAUCUAUCACUAGUUAUCGCUUGUAAAUAACGAGUUCAAGGGGAUUGACAAGCCUCUUGCCCGCAUUGGGUGCAAGUGUUUACUCUUUUGUGUGUAGGCUCUAAAGACGGGAAAUUGCAUAGUUCUCCCAUUGGUUCGAUAACCUUGGUUCUCAAAGAGGGAAGUACUAUCUAUAAUGUGCUGCCUCAUCCACUCCUAUUUGGGGAAAAACCCAACGCAGAUCACAAGUAUGAGGAAGGAUAUCUCACGCCGUUGUCGGGGAGUAUCACCAAUUUCCUAUCAAGUACCUACUCACAAAUUAUCAUUCACUUGUUUUACUUUUUAUUUGUCGUUAUAUUUUGCUUGCUAUAAAAAUUUAAAAUAUAAAAAUAUUUAUCUUUGCUAGUUUACUUGUUUGCUUGUUAUCGUUGCUAGUUUACUCAUUCUGCUUGUUACUUUGCUUGCUAGUUUACUAGUUUUGUCAAGAAUGCAAAUGGCAUGCACAUAUAGGUGAUGUUUUUUGAGCAUUUUGAUAUCUUUUUGUUUUUCUAAGUUAGUAUGAAUAGUUUAUGAAGUUUUCAAAGUGUCGGUCAAACGAUCAAAGGGCAAAAGCAUAAGCAAAGCAAAAUGGUUUCGGUGGGAACAAGUGUUUUCUAAAACUAGGGGUAAACCUGCCGAGUGUGACCCAACUAGGGGCAUAAAUUCAAUUGUCCCAUUAAAUAAUGCCCCACUCAUGGUUUAAAUUUAUGGAUGAUUAUACAAAAUUUAUGUGCGAGACUACACUUUGUAUCUAGAAAUCUUCUAGAUUCUACCGCAAGUGAUACCUUCCUGGAGGUGACAUUAGGAGAGGCCUCAGUGAUGACGGACAACAUCAUGAAACACUAUUCUCAAUGGCAUACUGAAAGAGCUCCAACUGGUAAGAAGGUCAAUUCGCUUGAGCAUGCUAAACAAUUUUAAAUAUGCAUGAGGGUUGUAAAAUAUUAAUCUACGCGAAAUUCUAGUCAAGUUACAUAUAUAACUCGUCGCGAUCCGACGCAUGGAUUAAAACUUACGAGCGUUUGAAAAUUAUGCUCUUUUCUGAAAAAGAAUUAAAUCGCAGGUGCUAAAAAACCUACAUGGGUCGAAUAUGUCUAAGGGCUGAAUCGGAGCACGGAUGCUGGAUAGCUAAAGGUCGCCUCGGGCGCACAAUAGAGGGGCCAGGGGGUCUCACCUUCGUGGGCUUCGGCCCAGGUGGAGGAGAGGCGAAGGCUCGCCCUGUUGAGGAGGCCGGCCGGGGCGAAUCUGGCCAACUGGGCCGUGGGCGAUGCGGGUCAGCAGGGCUGCAGCCCACUGCUGGUCAACGGGGUCGGCUAACCCCAUAUCCGAUCGAGAUCGGGGCUACGGCGCUGGGGGCGAUGGCGAUUGGGCGACGGGGCGACGAGGAACGGGGCCGGCCGAUGAUGGGUUGAGAGAAGAGAGGGUUUGCGGCCCGACACAAGACUUUCAAAACACCGAAAAACGUGUGACGAUAAACCGAGGACGGUGCCACUACGGUCAACCGUUUGGGUAUCAAACGGACUCGAAUUGCGACGAAAUUUGGCAGACGGCCUACCUACACUAUAUUAAGACCGCACGCCAAGUUUCAACCCAAUCCGAUAAUAUUUUAUACACACUUUUAAAAACAAUGUUUUAACGAUGUCGCGGGCGCCUGCGUGUGUGGUUGGUCCCAAAACGGUCAACGACGAACACGGAGAGGACCGACAACUAAUAACGGAUGUAGGUUUUGAAAACCGGUGGCAACGGAGUGCCGAUGCAAUGCUGAUGAUGCUAAUGAUGUGAUGAUGAAUGCGAUAGACAAUCUAAUCGCACAACGGCAAUGGAAUAAAAGGGAAAUCUUCUGGAGCGUCGGUCUCGGGUUGUCACAGUGUUGGUCCAUCACUACCUCAAUAGCCAGCGCACAUUGUUCCGUGGCUCCAUUCCGGACCAACUUCCGGCGUUGAAUCGCAACCGAGAGAGGGCAUCUCCUUCUUUGGAAGGACUACUUAGAGACAACAAAUCCAUUGUUCAAACAUCAGAAAUUCCGCCGUCGUUUUCGUAUGAGUGGGCAUCUUUUCAACCAUAUUAGAGAGGGGGUUAUCGGCUACGAUGACUAUUUCGAGUGCAAAGAGGAUGACUGCUUGUGUGAUCAUGUACAAUAUGAUCGUAAAAGAUGAGCGUCCGAAACAUCGGUACGAUCAAGGAUUUCAGUUUCAGGGUGAGAAUAUUGUGCCUGCUAAUACCUGGAGCACGCGGAAACUGUUGGAUGUGAUGACUUCUUGUGUGGUCAUGCACAAUAUGAUCAUAAAAGAUGAGUGCCCGGAACGUCUGUACGAUCAAGUAUUUCAGUUUCACGGUGAGAAUGUUGUGCCUGAGCAUGGAAGAGCGGCACCGUUUGAACAGUUCAUCCAAUUUCACCAUGACAUGCGUGAUUGAGAAACUGAUGUGCAACUGCAAAAUUAUUUGUUAAACAUAUGUGGGCUCAUGUUGGCAACCAAUAUAUGUAUCUUCUUUAUUGGGCUUGUAAAACUAUGCUAUUUUAUUCGGUUGAAAAUUUGACUAUAUGUUUGAAUGCAAAACAAUGCAAAAAAAUAAUAUAUAUAUAUAUAUAUAUAUANNNNNNNNNNNNNNNNNNNNNNNNNNNNNNNNNNNNNNNNNNNNNNNNNNNNNNNNNNNNNNNNNNNNNNNNNNNNNNNNNNNNNNNNNNNNNNNNNNNNUAUAUAUAUAUAUAUAUAUAUAUGUUGAAAUAGGACGGUCAGUCGGCCACGCCGGCAUAUAUGGGACGGCGCGUUGGGCGCAGUGCCGAUUCAAAUCUAAAACAGGGCGGACACCGGACGGGCGGCCUAUCCAAAGGGACAAAAAACGGACAAAAUCACCGUCCGUUUGGGUCGGCCCAUUGAAGUUGCCCUGAAUAUGUUUAUAUUACUUUACGGAAGGAGUACAUGAUAGGUCCUUAUUAGAAACCCCUUUAUCGAAAAGGCUACAUGAUGGGUUUGCGGGUGUUCGGGAAAAAGUGUUCUUCUACACCCGAGCUCGGAUGAACAGUGAAUUCGAACCAUAUUUUAAAAUGCUUAAGAAAAUAUGAAAAAAAAAAUACAGCAAACUUUAACGAAUGUUCUAAUAGCUUGCAAAAUUUUAGUACGAAAUCAUAGUUUUUAAGUCGUGGCAGAAAAUCAAAAUUAGUGUUCCAGAAUGCUUUUGGAAGUAGCAUUUUUCAGAGUUUUGAUUUUGUUUUUCUUACGACUUUCUCAAAUGCGAUUUCAUGAUGAAAUUUUACGAACACUUACAACAUUUGUUAAAGUUUGCCUAAAAAAAUCAGAUUUUUAAAAUAAUUUUUAAANNNNNNNNNNNNNNNNNNNNNNNNNNNNNNNNNNNNNNNNNNNNNNNNNNNNNNNNNNNNNNNNNNNNNNNNNNNNNNNNNNNNNNNNNNNNNNNNNNNNCUUUGAUGAGAUGAUCAAAGAUUUUGGGUUUGUACAAGGUUUAUGAGAAACUUGUAUUUCCAAAGAAGUGAGUGGGAGCACUAUAGAAUUUCUGAUAAGUAUAUGUGGUUGACAUAUUGUGGAUCAGAAGUAAUGUAGAAUUUCUGUAAAGCAUACAAGGUUGUUUGAAAGGAGUUUUCAAAGGAAUACCUGGAUUGAGCUACUUGAACAUUGAGCAUGAAAGAUCUAUGGAGAUAGAUCAAAAGCGCUUAAUGGAAGUUUCAACAAGAUGCAUGCCUUGACAAGUUUUUGAAGGAGUUCAAAAUAGAUCAGCAAAGAAGGAGUUCUUGGUUGCGUUGUAAGGUGUGAAUUUGAGUAAGACUCAAAACCCGACCACGGCAGAAUAAAGAGAAUAGACGAAGGUCGUCUUCUAUGCCUUAGCCGUAGACUCUAAAGUAUGCCAUGCUGAGUACCGCACCUGAUGUGUGCCUUGCAGCAAGUCUGUUAAGAGGUACACAGAGUGAUCCAGGAUUGAAUCACUGAUCGGCGGUCAAAGUUAUCCUUACUAACUAAAUAGACUAAGGAAUUUUUCUCGAUUAUGGAGGUGGUUAAAGAGUUCGUCGUAAAGGGUUACGUCGAUGCAAGCUUUGACACUAAUCCGAAUAACUAUGAGUAGUGAAACGGAUUCGUAUAGUAGAGUAGAUAUUUGGAGCAUUUCCGAAUAGCACGUAGUAGCAGCAUCUAUAAGAUGACAUAAAGAUUUGUAAAGAACGCACGGAUCUGAAAGUUCCAGAACCGUUGACUAAAACCUCUCUNNNNNNNNNNNNNNNNNNNNNNNNNNNNNNNNNNNNNNNNNNNNNNNNNNNNNNNNNNNNNNNNNNNNNNNNNNNNNNNNNNNNNNNNNNNNNNNNNNNNCACGCCAGAUCCCACCCCGUCGCCCCCCUCCUCUCCACCUCGCCUCCCCUCCCAGAUCCUCCCCCACCGGCCUUCUCCCUCCACCGCCCCCUACCCCGGCGGCCCCUCAUCCCCCUCACUCCCCUGCGGCCCCUCCCCUGCCCACAGGCUUGUAGGGUCGUGGGUCGAGCCGAUGAUGCGUAGAUUGCUAUAUUCUCUCACUUAGAGGCUAAACAAUCCAUGGCUAGUGGGCCAGCCCUAAAUUAAUGCUUUAUGCAGUGCCACUAACUAGAAUGCAAGUAAGCCACUGAUCACAGAUAGCUGGACCUCAAAUUAAGAAACAGUCUUAAAUAGGUCUUGGAAUGAGGAUUUAAGAAUCCUUACAAAAUAUGAUUGACCAGCCUACAGUGCAGAAAGGGAAAACUAACUCGGCCCUGCAGUACAAUUGGUACAGUCAUGCACAAGUUUGUAUAACUUUCUAUCUGAAUGGCGAUUUGUUGUUUACAAUUGCUUAAUACGUAAAGCUAGAGAAACUAGUACAAAUAACAUGACUAGUGUGAUAGGGAGGGUAAUUUAUACCCUUAUCUGACCGGGGGUACACCCAUCGUAGUGGUUUCAUCAGCUAAACCAUACUAGUUUAUCCCAGAUGGGAACUAAAACCAUGUAGCAGCAUCCAUCAAAUAGACGACGCAGAGGGAACAUUGCUUUAUGCAUUCAACAAACAGUAACCAAAAGGGCAUCAUAUCUAUUGAUCUUGCACUGAAAAUUAAAGAAAAUAGUUUAGGGGACUACACCAGGGAGCAAAAGUUUAACACGUAACUGCAUCCACAAAAGUAUAAUAAAAAAAGUUUAACACAUAACUGCAUCCACAAAAGUAUAAUAAAAAAAGUUUAACACAUAGCCUCAUCCACAAAAUAAUAUCAAAUGAGAGGCAUCCAGAAAAGAAACCUUUAUCUGUACCCUUAGUUUAUAAAACGCUAUACUUGGUUUUCAGGUGUAACUAAUCCUUCAGAUGAAAGUUCGACAACAGAGUAUAUCUGUAAACAUAGGUUAUUGCAAAAACCAUAGAACUAAAUAUGCAUCAUCUUCCUCCAGAAAGUCCUGUCAUGGUCGCCGCCACAGAUGGGCAUGACAGGAUAUGCUGCCCAAAUUCUUCAUCCCUGCUAGUAAGGCUCAAAAAACUUGGCUGGUAAUCAGGGAGUAGCACAUCCUUUGAAAGGUAUUGCAUAACUAGGCGCAUGCAUGGCCUAGCACUUUGUGCUGAGUGUGAGCAGAGCAAGCCAAGCUUUAGUACUAACUCUGCUUCCUCACUGAGAUAAUCUUCUAAUUUCGGGUCUACCGUAUUGAGGAUUGAACCACUCUCCCAUGCAUCAACCACCCAGUCUGUCAGCAGCACUGGCUCACCAUCAGAAUCAUUCACUUGUAUUGGACGCCUCCCACAAACAACCUCCAACAUGAAGACACCGAAUGCAAAGACGUCAGUUGCCUUGGUUGCCCUUCCUAGCCUAGACAGCUCCGGAGCAAUGUACCCCCAGGUGCCAGCCAAAUGUGUGGUGUGGGCAUCUGUACCAUGGUUGUGUAAUCUUGCCAGACCAAAAUCACCCAAUCUACCGUUCAUUUCAUUGUCGAGGAGCACGUUGCUUGCUUUGAUGUCUCGAUGGAUGACUACCUUCUCCCAAUCCUCGUGGAGGUAGCAAAGACCAGCUGCAAUGCCUUUUAUAAUGUUGAAUCUGUGAACCCAGCCUACAGUCUGCUUAUCUCGACCAUGCAAAACUCUGUCCAGACUACCAUUUGGCAUGUAAUCGUAAACCAGAAGGAGCUCGCUCUUGUUGCGACAAUAACCGAGCAAUUGCACAAGGUUGCGAUGGUGGAGAUGGCCUAGGAUGGUUAUCUCAGCUAUGAAUUCCUUCAUCCCCUGCUUUGACUCUGGUGAAACCCGCUUGAUGGCAACAUUUUGCUUCGAGGUUUGCAGCAGCCCUUUGUACACUUUCCCAAAUCCUCCUUUCCCAAGAAGCAUCUUGUCACUGAAACUGUUAGUUGCAGCAGCAAGAUCUUUAUAUGUGAAGGAUGCUGACCCACAAUCAAUUUCCCAAUCACCACUUUGCCUUGCUUUCUUCAUAUAAACAUAAAUAGCGACAAUAACAACAGUUGUGAUGAACACCGACACAAUAAUAACUGGUAUAAGAACACCCUUAGGGACAUGGGAGCGACUUUGAGCAUCGCGUCGAACAUCUUGUAUAAUUUCAGACAACACUGAGUAGUUAAGUGGUUUAGCCUCCCCAUUUGGAUUGAAACUCCAGCCGAUAAUGCGGUGUAUGGAUCUUACGGUGCUGGUUGCAGAGGCAAAGCCAACAUAUACUGAUCUUGGCAAAACCGAUGUAAGAUUGAUAGUAUUGGAUAGCAGUGGGCGCUGAGGCUUCUGCUCUAGGUAAGGUGCUAAACUGACAUUCACUUGGUGUGAACUGUCAUCAUAAUCCACCCAUACUUGCAUCGGUUUUCCACUAAUAAGUAGCAAAUCAGUGAAAUUGCCAUCUGGGGUAUAGUAUCCAGCAGGAUGGGAAUUGAUAGACACCAAGGUGUUUACAUCGAUUCCAACAUGGUUACUAUUAAUAUCCCUGAAUUCGGGAUUUUGGAUGGUAUCAAGCUCGACGGCAAAGAGUUGAUUUGUCACAUUGCCGUUGUUUUCAGGGUUGAAGAUGCCCAUGUACUGAGACGGGGAGGCGCCCAAUAAAGAGUCCGUCGUGGCAGAAACCGUAAAGGCAAGCCCAUGCCCGCCUAAAUCAGAGUAAGGAGGACUGAUGACGAACACGAAGGUUGUUGAGAAUGAGGAAAUAGAGUCAAACCGGCCUCCGAAGAAAGCGCGUCCUACACUCUGGGCAACACCAUCGGUUAGCAUGAGAGCUCUGCUUGAGAUUGAAGCUACACCAUCAAACCGGAGCAUGCCACUAGAGAAACCAUCGUAGGUGAAGCCGUCGUUGGUGUAGGAGGCGGAGGCUGGGAUGAGGAAGAUGAGGCAGAGUAAUAGGUAGCGAGGCAGCAUGGUGGAGGCGCCUUUCUCUCAGGGAUGGCCGGGUGGGUUAUGAAAUAUGAAUAAUCAAGGCAAGUGCCAAAGAAAUUAAGAACAAAUAGUACCAGAGUCUAUUACACGUUUGGUUUUCGGUCAAUAUGGUGGGUCCUACCGGAGAAAAGUGAGGCCAUUUGAUUGGUACACAACUACACGUCCAACACAUCAAGAGGGACAAUGUACAUUGUUGACCGACUUUUCCACUAAAACACAAGGGGAAGAGUGUUACUUUCUGGAAUGAAUCAACCCGCAUUUUGCUUGUCUCAAUGCACCAAACUGAAAGAACUCCACUUCGUUUCCAGAGAUAGCUCAGUGUGUUUACUUAUUUUGGUCCGGAACACGGAAAUAAUUGCUUUUCCUGAAGAAAAAGAAAGCCUUCGGCACAUGAUCAACCGGGGCAAAAUAAACAUAUUCUUCAAGACCCGUAAAAAAUUAUACAACAGAGACACAGGUUUGCCAUAGAAUUCCAACUAAACACUAUGGUGCAGUAGGAUAUGAUGUGCCCUUAAUCUUGGGAUCAGGGCACCAAAUAAGUUGACUAGUCGAAUCUCUGGCUCUGGCUGGAGAAAUGGAGAAGAUAUGUUUUCACACGCCGCCAGCUUAGCAGAUGAACCAGCAAACUGCACAUCUGUUCGUUUUUUCUACUCUUAACUUCCUGUAUACACGGUACAAACAAUUUGUUCGCUGUCAGUCAUUAUAUACAUCUCUGGUUGUGUUGCUUCUCUGCAUGUCCCCUGCUCUUGAUGUCCUGAGCCGUGGCGCUUCCGUUGGCCGCCACCAACACCUCUGCUGAGACGCGGGACAGACUGCACCGUCCGACCAUCGCCUUCUGCCUAACUUGGUUAAAUCGCAAAGUUCAGUUUGUCAAUUUUGGUAAGGCAACUCCACUUAAUUCGAAUUUUGUUAUUCGGUGUGCCAAAAUUUGUUGAAUGUGCAGUUUUGAAGGGACUUGAUCAGAUUAAUUUUUCCCUGGGCCGGAACUGAAUCUGGAAUCUGAAGCCAUGUUACCUCAAAUAUGAAGCCUUUAACCUUACUAGCAAAAGGGCCCGUGCGUUGCAACGGGAAAAAUAAAUUUCCGGAAAAAAUUAAUUUUCCACGCUCUUAAUUUAUAAAAGUUCAAAAUUUAUAAUCCAAAAUAAAACAAUUCGAAUUUAGUAAAAUUGCACCAAUCUGUCAUUAAUUUUACAAAUCUAUGAUUAAUUAAGUACAGCAGCACAGUACAACUCCUGCAAUGCAGUGCUAGCUAGCGACAUUCCAAGCUCACCGUCAUCCAUGGCUCUCCAGCUCCUCCCCUCUCCGUCCCCAAGAAGGUAAUUAACACAAGCAAGAUCAUCUUCAACAUCGAUGUACAUUGUUGCUGCAUCUGUGGUGACAUUCAUGUUUUUGUAAUGGAUGCAGGGCAGCAGCAUGGGCGCUGUGGCGGUGAAGGACACGGCGGCGUUCCUAGGCGUGAGCAGCAAGGCGAAGAAGGCGUCGCUGGCGGUGAGGACGCAGGUGGCCACGGCGUCGUCCCCGGUGACGACGAGCCCGGGCUCGACCGCAUCAUCGCCAAGCGGCAAGAAGACGCUGCGGCAGGGCGUGGUGGUGAUCACGGGCGCGUCCUCCGGGCUGGGCCUGGCGGCGGCCAAGGCGUUGGCCGAGACGGGCAAGUGGCACGUCGUCAUGGCGUGCCGCGACUUCCUCAAGGCCUCCAAGGCGGCCAAGGCGGCGGGCAUGGCGGACACCAGCUACACCGUCAUGCACCUCGACCUCGCCUCCCUCGACAUGGAAUGUUCGUCUGACGCUCUGCUCCUNNNNNNNNNNNNNNNNNNNNNNNNNNNNNNNNNNNNNNNNNNNNNNNNNNNNNNNNNNNNNNNNNNNNNNNNNNNNNNNNNNNNNNNNNNNNNNNNNNNNGGGGGGUGGCGGCGCACAGGGAGGGGGAGGGAGUAGCGAGGGGAGGAGGCGGCGGCUCCGAGGGGGAUUAGGGUUGCGGGAUGGAGGUGGGGGCCGGCUGGGCCUUGAGCCCAGUUGGGCCAGGGGGGGUGGGUUGCUUUCCCUUUUUUUUGAUUUGUUUUUAUUUUGUUUUACCUUUUCCCUUUUCUUUUUAUUAAUCCUUUCUUUCAGUUUUCUUUUCUUUCUUUUAUCAUUAUUAUUUCUUUAAUACUUUCCCCUUUUUUUUUACAUAUAUAUUCUUUUAAUAUUUGCAAUGAACUCAUAACGUACUCUACUUUUGUUUUUCAAAUUUGAAAUCCGGACAAACUCGAAUCAACGCGGGUCUGAGAUGGAAAUCCGAUGACGUGGCAUCAUUAGCGGUUGAUCACUGUAGCUUAAUUACAAUUACUACUGUAGCAAAAGUCGAGGAUGUCACAGCCCCGAAGUAAUUCAUGAUACCUCGGAAGAAGGGAUGGGGAGGCAAGGAGAAACCUCUGGCCACAUGGCUGAGCAGCAGAACGCGCUCCCCCUCCUUCGGCGCCGGCUCCGUCUCGCCUUCCGGCAGCCUCCAGGACUUGUUGACGACCAUGCCAUGCUCCACCAGCUCCAGCACGUCGUUCUCCGUCACCGAGGAGGGGAGGAAAUCCCCCUGGAUCCAACCCGCCGGCAGCGCCCGCUGCCGCCGCUGAGUAGGGGCCGCCCCCUUCUUCUUCUUCUUCUGCGACUCGAUCUUGCUGGUCUGGCCGUUUGUCAUGGCGAGGGCGACGGAUCCGCAGAGGAGGCGGGGAAGGAGGUGGCUUGAGUUGUGCAGAGAGCUGCGGGAGGAGCGAGAUUAAUGAGAGGAGGAUGAGCAGCGCAACAGGAAAUCCCGCCGGGGAGGCUUAAAUAGGCUUCUGACUGGGCCACUAAAAGGUGGACCCAAGAUCUUAUCCCCCCAACCGGCCACUGCAAGAUUAGUGGAGAAGAUAAUGGUGCGGUAAUCGAGGAGGAAAAACCUACUCGAUGGCGAUGUCGUCAUCCCCGCUGAGCGCGCGACAACCGAAAUUUGAGGAUCCCGGAAAAUCCGGCGUUGUCAGUUGGACCAGUCACGUCGAAAGAUUCCGCGGAAGCACUCGGUCCCUGACGGUUCGUUUCACUGGUAUAUUCACUCGGAUCACUGGUUGAAAGGAUAAAAUGGAUCGAGGCAAACAACGCUAAAGUCACCUCCAUACCAGUCGGUUCCAUACUCCAGACAUCACUUCAUCGUUCCAAACCCGAUCCAUUCGGGGACUAAUGAUGGGGUUAUAGUCCGAGGGUAGGGUCAUAGGCCUGCCCUAUAGGUCCUAUCCAAGGACUACCCUUCAUAGAAGACAAGGCCCUUAGACAGUUCCGACUGAACUAAGGACGUCCCCAUCAUCCAGUCGACGACGAUCCACUCGGAGCAUAUUUAACGUACCGACUGGAAUCCACUCUAUACAUCGUAACCUCCCAGGAGGGCAACGGUCAUACGUUUUCAUUCACCAUUAUUAGCAUUUAAGGCUUACGUUACCUGUAACGUAGUCAUUUAUUCGCCACUAUUCCACCCUUGUUCACCGGGCCAUUAUGAAGGGCAACGCACUCUAUAUAAGCCGCCCUUCCCCACUGGUGCAAAGGUUGGCACUUGCUGUAAUCCUAUAAUCCACUCGACACAAAGCUCCCAAGAGCACUGAGACGUAGGGCUUUUACCUCCACCGUAGAGGGGCCUGAACUCAUACAUCCUCGCUGUAGCUAAGACUCUGCCCAUCCUUUCGUACCCCAUACAUCUACUGUCAGACUUAUACGCACGACAACAGUUGUGACUCUCGCAAAGGCAAAAGCAUGCCUAUCAUGGAAGCAAAACCAUGUCAUUCACGAAAAAACCCGCAUUUGUUUCGAUUCCAAAAGGCACGGGCGCGCCUUUCACUGAAGCAUAACCGUGCCUCUCGUAAAAAAAUAAAAAAAACACAUUUUUUCCAAGAGGCAUGGCUUUGCCGUUCGUGUAAACAAAAUCGUGCCUCUCAUAAAAAGAAUAAAAACGCGUCUUUUUGUCCCCGAGAGACACAGCCGUGCCUCUCGUAAAAUCAAAAAACAGUGACUGAAAACAAGUUUUUGUCCUUUUUCAAGAGGCACUGCCUAGCGUCUCGCAGGAAAAAAAACAAGUAUGAAAAAACUAAGAAACGUGACUCGCGUAAUUUUUAUUAUUUUUUCGAAAAGCUAAGAAAGACGUGUGAAAACCCGAAACGGCAGAAAAACCAAAAAAAUAAUCUAAAAAGCCAAAAAUGCAUGUGGAACACAAAAGGAAAAAUCCAAAAAAACGCUCAAAACGCGACACGUGAUGGCGGCUGAGAAUUGUUUUUUAAGAAACCAGCAAGAGCUCUGCUUUUGCAUUAAGAAAAAGAGAGUUGACCAGUUAUGGCGGCUGAGAAUUGCGGCCGUGCUUCUUGAAAACGAAAAAAAAACGCGUUUUCGGUCAAAUGGCAGUUCGUAGGAGCAAUCAUUGGAGGAGCAAUCGUUGGGAGGCUUCCGAAGAAGUGUCCCUAACUAGUUGGUCCUGAGAAUUGUUCUUGGGCUUAGUUAGCCGUUGGAUCCACUCAUUGUAGUACUGUCUAACCCAGGUCCCAUAUUACGUUUAAAAAGAAAAAAUGAAGAUCGUGCAAAACGUGUGCCUUCUAAAAUAAUCGCCAUUUUAUGGAACAAACACAAAAAAAUCACCCUACAUAGGUCUUUACCAAAAAAAAUGCUGGAAGCUGCAUAUUUUGACCCGCGACUGUCAUAUCUAAUAUAUUUGUCGCGUGACUUGACGGGAGGGAAACUUCAGCCCCCUUCUUUGCCCGGCCUCCUCCGCCACCUCCUUGAAUCACCCAACCGUUGAUGCCCAUAAUUUGGAAAUCUUGAACUAUUUUUAAAUCAUUUUGUUACAUGCUUCUCGUUAUUAUUUUUGUUUUAGACAGGGAACUUGUAUGUUUGAUUUUCAUCAGCCUUUGUUAUUUUUGUUAUUUUCCCGCGACAAAGCGUAGGGUGUCAUCUAGUUGGAGAAAAGGACGAUCCGUACACACACCGGCAUCCAUCUCUGACAACUCGUUACUCGUGGGCUAUACAUAUAAAGUUGGGCGCAAUUCUGUUUCAAAGUCCAUCUCGAUCUACUGAAACCGAACAGGGGUUGAGUAUUGUUUUUUUCAAUCGGUCCAAGCAAAAGAUAAAAAAAAUAUAGUCCUUCCUCUAUUUUAAAAUAAGUGUCUUUAACCUUUUUUUUUGUUGGGCAGUGUCUUUAACUUUUGUACUAACUUACAAAAGUUGGCCGGCUGGUCCCAAAGGAAACCCAGGUCUGAUUUGGUUUUGUUUGGUUUACGGUUUUGCACAUCUAUGGACAGCACGUACACUUGCGCGCCUGAGGUUCUCGGCCGGCCCUAGUAGCAUGCAAAUACAAGUAGGGCUAGCAAAUGAUAAUGUGCGCCCAGAGCAUCUGCGUCUCCUAAGCUUGACUUGUGGUCGAUCGUCCAUCUGAUUUGACCCAUCCAGUUGGCGCCGCGGCCGCUCGAAAGUGUGCAGGCACACAAGAAAUGACCUGCAAAAGGCACCUUCCGAAUACAUUUCCUUGCCUAUUACGUACGUACUGCACGGCUCUCACUCUAUAUAUAUAAGACUUGCCCAUCAUCAGCAUUCUUCACAUCAACCAACAAUCACUGUAACUAACCACAAGAAGAAGAAGAAGAAGAAGAAGAAAAAGCGAUGGCGUUCCGACGCCGUUCAUGCGUACUAGCAGCUCUUGUCGCCCUCUGCUUCCUCGCCGCCACGGCAGCCGCCGGCGACCACGGCCUGACGGUCUUCUGGGGCCGGAACAAGGACGAGGGCUCCCUGAGGGAGGCCUGCGACACCGGCAUCUACAGCACCGUCAUCAUCUCCUUCUACAGCGUCUUCGGCCACGGCAAGUACUGGGGCGACCUCUCCGGCCACCCGCUCUACGCCAUCGGGGCCGACAUCAAGCACUGCCGGGCCAAGGGCAUCGUCGUCCUCCUCUCCAUCGGCGGCGGCGGCACCCAGUACUCCCUGCCGUCCUCACAGUCCGCGGCCGACGUCNNNNNNNNNNNNNNNNNNNNNNNNNNNNNNNNNNNNNNNNNNNNNNNNNNNNNNNNNNNNNNNNNNNNNNNNNNNNNNNNNNNNNNNNNNNNNNNNNNNNGGGGGGCAACCCACCCCAGGGAAGCCCAUAGGCCUUGGGGGUGGCGCACCAGCCCUUAGUGGGCUGGUGGGACAGCCCAAGAAGGCCCUAUGCGCCAUAGGAAGAAAAUCAAAGAGAAAAAAAGAGGAGGUGGGAAAAGGGGGAAGGACUCCUCCUUCUAAACCUAGUUGGACUCGGUUUGGAAGGGGAGGGUUCCCCCCUUUGGCUUGGCCGAACCCCUUGUGGGUCCUUGGACCCCAAGGCAAGGCUCCCCCUCUUCCCCCUAUAUAUAUGGAGGUUUUAGGGCUGAUUUGACACAACUUUUGCCACGGCAGCCCGCCACAUACCUCCACGGUUUUACCUCUAGAUCGCGUUUCUGCGGAGCUCGGGCGGAGCCCUGCUGAGAUUAGAUCACCACCAACCUCCGGAGCGCCGUCACCCUACCGGAGAACUCAUCUACCUCUCCGUAUCUCUUGCUGGAUCAAGAAGGCCGAGAUCAUCGUCGAGCUGUACGUGUGCUGAACGCGGAGGUGCCGUCCGUUCGGCACUAGAUCGGAGCGGAUCGUGGGACGGAUCGCGGGACGGUUCGUGGGACGGUUCGCGGGGCGGAUCGAGGGACGUGAGGACGCUCCACUACAUCAACCGCAUUUCUUAACGCUUCUGCUGUGCGAUCUACAAGGGUACGUAGAUCGGAAAUCCCCUCUCGUAGAUGCACAUCACCAUGAUAGGUCUUCGUGCGCGUAGGAAAUUUUUUGUUUCCCNNNNNNNNNNACAAGGGAGUACCUUGCUCUGAUACCAAUUGAAAGUGCGUUAUAUCGACUAGAGGGAGGGUGAAUAGGAGAUUUUCACAAUUUCAUCACCGAGGAAAUUCCUCACUAAUGACUAACUUACAGCGGAAACAGUAAAGGAUCAGAAGUGCAAAGUUUCACAACAACAGUUUUUUAGUGUGAGGAAUGUGAAAACAGAUUGCACAGUGAGCAGGCACGCAGAAAAUAUAUGAGGAUUAACUAGCGUGAAGAAUUUGGGGUUGAGGAAUUUCAGAGAAAGUCUUCAGCAAAUUCUUCAAACAGUAAUAGUGAAAGUCAUCAACACAUAAUUUGAGGAAAGUAAGGAGUUGAGGAAUUAGAACCCGUUUCCCAGCGAAGACAGUAGUUGAUGACCNNNNNNNNNNGACAGUCGUACAUCUGGUUUGGAGUGGCUUGGUAUUGAAACCAAAGGACACACAGUACCGGGACACACAGUCCCUACCGUGUUCUCCUUGGGCUAAGAACACACAGUCCUCGCCCAACACUAGUGGUAAGUCUUCAGGGCAGACUUCCAAACCCUCACAAACUUGGUUACCCGGCGAUCCACAAUUGACUGCUGGAUUGCUCUAGACCAUGACGCCUAACCAUCUGGAGGAUGCACAGUCCUCAAAGGUAAAAGGCUUCAGUCCCACACANNNNNNNNNNNNNNNNNNNNNNNNNNNNNNNNNNNNNNNNNNNNNNNNNNNNNNNNNNNNNNNNNNNNNNNNNNNNNNNNNNNNNNNNNNNNNNNNNNNNUUUGGGAACGUAGCAACGACCGAGUGAGUGACACAUCACCACGCACCAAAUGAGAAAGAAAUUGACCCGAGUAAAGAGCCCAACGGUGAAAACUUGCGGGCCCGGACGACGAUCUAGGAAAUUCACUGGAUAUGGGCUAUAGCAUUGGGGCAAUAAUUAAUUUUUUUACUUCUUUGAAGAAAAUAUUAAUUUCUUGACUUGGAAUUUCGGCAAUGUUGAAAUACCCAUUUUAGAGAGGCGACCCUGAAAUAUGGGGAAUAUACUCGUCUCUUGCUCGAUACCUUCGACUUUACCGUGUCGCGAUUUAACCGGCAAUAACUUUUUAUGGUAUUACUUACGCCUUUUUUGUUAAUAUGUUUGCUCAUCACUUUAGAUGACUUCCUCGUUUGGUUUGUUCACACAAUGAAAGGCAUGCAAUGCGCCUUUACUUUUUUUGUAACUUUUUCUUUGAAUAAUUUUCUUUUCUCUCCUCCCUUUCCCGGACCACAUUUUAGACCUGGUUUGUUCACACAAUGAAAGGCAUGCAAUGCACACUUUUCUAUUUCUCUUUCUUUUCUCUCCUCCCCUUCCCUGGUCACAUUUUAGAUUUGGUUUGUUCGCACAAUUAAAGGCAUGCAAUGCACAUUUACCUUUUUUCUAUUUUUCUUAAUACUUUUGUUUUCUCUCCUCCCCUUCCCCCACCACAUUAUAGACUACCGUCCAACAACACAUAGUGGAGCUCGGGCUAGUGACCUCCAUCCAUCCGGUUCAUGGGCGAGUUCGAUGAGGUAUUGUGUGUGGCGAUGAAUCUCGAACCAUUGCACCCCUCACAUUCCCACUCGAGGAGCAACACGGGAGUCAAGCUGAUGCAACCACCUCCAAGCAUAAACCACAUUGUUGACUUGCAAUCUUGGCGCAUCGGAACCAUACCACACGAUGAGCUCCGAGUUUCAAAGAGGCAUAAAGAAGGAGAGCGGUGGUGUGAUGUGAGAGAGGGAUAGGUGGAGCAAGAGAAAAAGGGAAGUUCACCACGUGAGGUACGAUUUUAUCUCGUCGAAGGUAGGAUAUUAUUCUCCUACAUACCCGUGCAUAGAUAGUUGUCUUGGUAAUGUAUAUUGGAUAUGCGACGUAAAUAUGAAUAUGAAUAGUAUGCAAUAUAAAAUUAGCUCUCAUAUUAUAUAUUGACUAAAAUUAAAUUUAAACCUUCCCGAGUCAAGUCCAUACCGUGAAACCCUAGGAGCUAGGGCGGUGGCACCGAUUACCUCCUUCCGAUGAAAUAAUGGGUCCCCUGUCCCUCCUUUUGUUGCUUCAGCGACAGGAGGGGGCUGGGUAGGGUAAUACUUUUUGUUUAGAGUUUCAUCCCCAGUUGAGGUGGUAAGGCGAUGGUGUUGCUAUUGGUAUGUAUUAAAUCCUCCCCGCUUUGCCUCGUUCUGAUGAUGCUUCUUGUCAUUGUUGUAAGGCGUAUGGUGGGUCCCUAGAUUCCAUUCUAUAGGUUGUUAUUUUUCUUGUGUAGUUUUUCCUUGUUGUCCCUAUCCCGCAGAGCGGUUGGCGUGACUUUGCAUCUUAGUCCUUCGACUUCAGUUUUGAUCGAAGAAUGUUUUUCUUUCUCUCUCUUUGUCUUCAUCUAUCACGUGCAAGUGACCAGACAUAUGAGGAAGGGAAUGAGGAUUAUGGCUGCACGGAUGGAUAAAUAGGGGACAUGCUCGGUCACUGACUGGACGCGUCCACAUACGUUUAGGGGGUCAUAUUUUCUAUGUUCGAUUUUAGAUGAUGUUAGGCGACAUUAAACUUUGCUCAUGACGCUUUAUCAAUGGAAGCAUGAGGAAAAAGACUUUGACACCCCGAAGAAUUUGAAGGAAGCAGACUUCGACACCUCCAGGUAUUUAAAAGCAUUUUUCAAUUUUAUUGUAAGUGUUCUUUUAUAUUGCUUGUGCUACUUAAUAUAUGGGCUUUGGCCAUUUUCCCAAAAAAAUAUGGGUAAAAUAAAAGAUAUGUAGGUUGAUACCUCAUUCCAUUUCAGAUUCAAGAAUUAGGAAGGCAUUAAACGGGGGAUUGUAUGAUUUACGCCAUUUUAUAAGGAGUUAGUUGAUUUACCCCCAGAUUAUUAAAUGUAGAAGUAAAAUGUGGCUUAUGAUCCAAUUUCUGGGCAUCUAACAGGAACAAUCAAAUGCACGUGUGAUGGAAAGAAAAGAAGAAGAAGAAAAAGGUCUCGGUCAUGCUUCUACUCCCUUCGUUCUUAAAUAUAAGUUUUUCUAAAAGUUUCACUAAGGAACUAUAUACAAAAAUAUAUAUAAACAUAUUUUAAAAUAUAAAUUAACUCAUUUUUAAUCCGUAUGUAGUUAUUUGGUGAAUUUUUUUAAAAAACUUAUAUUUAGGAACAUAAGGGUAUGUGGCAUGCACGACAGGAGUUAAACGAAGGCGCUGACUUUUAACGCCCUGCAUGCCGUGGUUUACGUCAGUCGGUGCAUGUGGACGCGCCAAGUGGCCGGCGGUCCGGUCGCUAUCCAUGCGCGUCCGGGUCCGGCGGCGUGAAGCACGGGACUGUAGCCGAAAGCUGGAAGCCUAGCGCUGUACGCACCGUUGGUCAGCCACGCGCCGCCGGUACGGUUCCGGCAGGUGGCUCAUCCGUCUAGCCCCGGCGAUCUGAUGCACUGCACCGCGUAUGGGCCGGCCAGCUAGCUGGGUCCUCUCCUCCUGCGUGCGUGUAUGAGCAAGUAGCAUUGCUGUUCCUGAUGCAUUUGACACAUGAUUUUUCGCACCAGAUAAACACAGCUAGCACGGCAUCGAUCAAUCUAGCGGGGGCCGUACCCCGGCCGUACGUACACGCUGCUGUCGCCAUUGCCAUGCCGCGGCGCGUGACGAGAACGGCGGACCGCGCGCGACGUAGUGGAGGGGAAGCGGACGUUGCUCGCUCGGCCCCCUCGACCCAACUCAACCCCAACCAUCUCGCUCUCAUAACACCCUAGGGCAGCACGCACCUGACAAGCAUGGGACGCCGGCACGGCACGAAUGGAGUUCUCCUCCCCUUGCUCUCCAUCGCAGCCUACCAUAUACCUUUCCCUCCCCUCCGGAGGCAAAUGGAACAAAGACCAACUGAUUAAGAGCAUCUCUAACACAUCCAGUGUAAAAUCACGAUCCGUAAAAUAACCAUCAAAAUAUGGGUCGACGUAAAAAAUGUUGCUUGAUUAGACUCCGCAAACGCGUUCGAUUCGUAAUUUUUUUAAGGGGCACGGUAAAACCCCCUCCCAGAUCCACGAAAACACAGGUUUCCGCUUCGUCCAUACGGUGCCCCGUAUCCCAGGAAAGUGGCUGACGGGAGUGACAUUUCAGCCCGCGUCCUUUCUCCCCCACCUCCCGCCGCCGUCCGUCAUUGGUUCCGACCAUCCGCCGCCGGCGAUUCCGACCAAAUCUACGGCUGGAAUCGCAUCAUGGGGGCGCCCCUGCCCUCUUCCGCCGAGCCGCUGGGCUGAUCGGCACCCCUCAUAUCCAGUCCAAAUAUGAGGAGGAUAUGGUGCCCCGGCAUGCCCGCCUGACUGCCGGGCCCACCAUCGCCCCCACCGACACGUCAGCCCGGCGCACCACGGACCCCACUAAAUACCUGAAUCGGGAAAAUCCUAGACAUCCGGCAGUUUACUCAUUGUCCAAUCUACUUCCCCUCACCACACUCUGAUUCGAUGACAGGUGGCGGAAGCAGCUCCGAUGGGUCAAACGUCGAUGUGGAGGAGGUCCUCCGCAUCGUGUUGUGCCAGUCGCGGCAAGACCAAGGCGGCCCCGACGGCGGUGGAUGUGCGUCCUUUGGGCCCGUCGCAUGGCAACGGAGCGUCGACGGCGGUGGAUCUGCAUCCUCCGGGCCCGUUGCACACCGACGGAGCACCGACGACGUCGCAGGCCCUUCUGGCGAGGCACGCAGCUCCGGUCGCUCCCGCUCCGGGAGGUCCGCUCCACGUCAGGUACGCCACCCACCUCCACCACCUUCUGCUUCGAAAGUGGUGCCCGGCCACCGCUGGGUCCUCGUGCCCGCGUCAGGGAUGGGGCGCACGAGGACGCCGGAAUCCAAUGCGCGUGUAUCCCAUCGCGAGCGGCAGCGGGCUAGCGAGAGGGAGAGGCGCUGCCUGCGCGCGUUCGACCUCGAGCACGCUGGUCGACCCCGAGGAGGCACUCCUGGUGGGCGUCCUUUGUCGAUCGCUGACGAGGACAGAGAUGGAUGCGCGUCGCCUCCGCCACAAGAAUGCAGAGGCGGUACAACUGGCCAUCCAGUUAUCGGAGCGCGAGGCAACGAAAGAGGCGGCAACAAAUGCGAAAGCAACCCCACCACGCGAAGGAGCAGGACCACCUACUCCGCAGGCUGUCCGGCAUGCGGUGCAGCUCCAACGAGGCUGACAACGAUGUCUCCAUCACGUCCGGCUCCGAUGAUGACGACGACGACGCUUCACCACACGCUGACGCCUACACGGAGGACGGGCAUAGUGGCGUGGACGACCAGAAAGGGAAGGGGACGGCGAGAAAAUGGUGAUUUCCUCCGCCCGUCCCCGUUUUCUUCAUAUUUUAAGUAGUUUGUAGUAUGAAUUUGUCAAUGCACUCCGAUAAACUUUGAUUCUUUUGUUCGGUGAUGCAAUCCGAUCCGAUGAAAGAUGUUGAUCUCUUGUUUUACGUAGUGUUACAUGCGUUUUUAUGAAUAUGAGGAAUUCGAAUAUGAAAGGAAAAAAGUUGAACGUCCGAUCAGUGUCCGCGGACUCGUCUGCGGGCAUUUGAGAGGUUGUAUUUAAAGGGUCAGCUUAGAUGCUCUUAGGCAGAUCGACACGCCGAUGCUGAUCCACCAGCAUAGCAUAGUCAACGACUCGUCGAUCCCCUGUGUCAGCCGGUCCAGAGGAUCAAAGAAAGCUUGCACAUCGGCACAUGCGUACUUCAGUACUUGCAUGCCACGCCUUUUAUCAUUGGACAAAUUACAUUGUCAGUCAGGCCAAUUGUAACAAGCAAAAGGAAGAGAAAACAGUAGACCAAAUCGAAGCAAAGAACACAGGAAUUCUUUUCGGUUUCAGUCGACAGAGAUGGAUGUUUGGAUCGUCGUUCCCUUUCAGCUCCGUCUCCUUUUGGCUUUUGCCAACUCUUUUCUUCUUCGUUCGUUCAUACUACCACUCGGAGUUCAUCGGUGAGUGAGUCAGUGAGUGACCCGUCACCGGAAAAUGCGGCAUGAUAAUUNNNNNNNNNNNNNNNNNNNNNNNNNNNNNNNNNNNNNNNNNNNNNNNNNNNNNNNNNNNNNNNNNNNNNNNNNNNNNNNNNNNNNNNNNNNNNNNNNNNNGAGGAAUUCGGUGUGUCCUGAAGAAAAUCAUCUUGAAGACUUUGCAACAUGAAGAUUUACUCUUUCUAUUUUAUUUUCUUCACACUUGAGUAAUAGGAACACCGUACUGUUAAAGGGGGUGGAAGUUACACUUUGGAAUGAAUUUCCUCAUGAUGCUCAACCCAAGCCUNNNNNNNNNNGAGGGUUCCGACCGUUUCGAUAGCCACGCCAAGUCAUUGGUCUUAUCCACACCAACGGUCAUAUUAUUUAAGGGCAUUAGUGUCAAAUCAUGUCGGGAUGCUCUCAGGCUAUAAAUAGCCGCCCCCCACAACCAUUAGCUGGUCGGCUGCUCCGUUAGGAACUGACACCUGUCAUAAGAGCAACCCAAUUCCUCAGAGUCUUCGAGAGUAAUUCAUCAGUGAGGAAAUACCCCAGACACCGAAACCACAAACCUAGAACCAAGUGAUUGAGCAUCACUGAAGAAGUUGUNNNNNNNNNNUAGGGUUCCGACUAUUUCGAUAGCCACGCCAAGUCAUUGAUCUUAUCCACACCAACGGUCAUAUUAUUUAAGGGCAUUAGUGUCAAAUNNNNNNNNNNCCAGGCAAUAAAUAGCCGCCCCCCACAACCAUUAGCUGCUCGGCUGCUCCGUUAGGAACUAACACCUGUCAUAAGAGCAACCCAAUUCCUCAGAGUCUUCAAGGGUAAUUCAUCAGUGAGGAAAUACCCCAUACACCAAAACCACAAACCUAGAACCAAGUGAUUGAGCAUCACUGAAGAAGUUGUUCCUGUGUGGGACUGAAGCCUUUUACCUUUGAGGACUGUGCAUCCUCCAGACGGUUAGGCGUCAUGGUCUAGAGCAAUCCAGCAGUCAAUUGUGGAUCGUCGCGUGACCAAGUUUGUGAGGGUUUGGAAGUCUGCCCUGAAGACUUACCACUAGUGUUGGGCAAGGACUAUGUGUUCUUAGCCCAAGGAGAACACGGUAGGGACUGUGUGUCUCGUGAAUUUGUGUCCUUUGGUUUCAAUACCAAGCCGUUCCAAACCAGAUGUACGACAUUAACAGCAGUUGGAACUGGGUCAUCAACUACUGUCUUCGCUGGGAAACGGGUUCUAAUUCCUCAACACCUUACUUUCCUCAGAUUAUAUGUUGAUGACUUUCACUGUUACUGUUUGAAGAAUUUGCUGAAGACUUUCUCUGAAAUUCCUCAACCCCAAAUUCUUCACGCUAGUUAAUCCUCAUCUGUUUUCUGCGUGCCUGCUCACUGUGCAAUCUGUUUUCACAUGCCUCACACUGAAAAACUGUUGUUGUGAAACUUUGCACUUCUGAUCCUUUACUGUUUCCNNNNNNNNNNNNNNNNNNNNNNNNNNNNNNNNNNNNNNNNNNNNNNNNNNNNNNNNNNNNNNNNNNNNNNNNNNNNNNNNNNNNNNNNNNNNNNNNNNNNAUGAUCUCAUGGUCAUAGGAACAAAUACUUGACACGCAGAAAACAGUAGCAACAAAAUGACACGAUCAACAUGCUACGUCUAUUAGUUUGGGUCUAAUCCAUCACGUGAUUCUCCCAAUGACGUGAUCCAGUUAUCAAGCAACAACACCUUGUUCAUAAUCAGAAGACACUGACUAUCAUCGAUCAACUGGCUAGCCAACUAGAGGCAUGCUAGGGACGGUGUUUUGUCUAUGUAUCCACACAUGUAAAUGAGUCUUCAUUCAAUACAAUUAUAGCAUGGAUAAUAAACUAUUAUCUUGAUACAGGAAUUAUAAUAAUAACUAUACAUUUAUUAUUGCCUCUAGGGCAUAAUUCCAACAAUCUAUGCCGGCGGCCAGACGUCUAGCCAUCGGCAUGCAUAGAUUCGACGGCGUUAGCCCCGUCGCGUGGGGGGGGGGGGNNNNNNNNNNNNNNNNNNNNNNNNNNNNNNNNNNNNNNNNNNNNNNNNNNNNNNNNNNNNNNNNNNNNNNNNNNNNNNNNNNNNNNNNNNNNNNNNNNNNNNNNNNNNNNNNNNNNNNNNNNNNNNNNNNNUGCCGACGAUGGCCGUAGGCGUACUAUUCUGUAGGCCGACGGCGUAGAUGUAGAUAUGCCUACAGCUUUUGUGUGCCGAGGGCUUUUAGCAAGCCGUCGGCAUAGCUACAACUAUGCCGACGGCCCCGAUAAAAAGCCUCGGUAUAGAAUAAGCUGUAGACAUAGUAGGUUAUUCUGGUAGUUACUUAUACAUAUGUCUAGGAAAAAAAAUAGAAAUAGGGAAGAUAUACCUAGGGCAUGAUUAAUUAGGGGGAAAAGGAAAUGUGGAUGUGACAAAUCACUCCUCCGGUAAUACAGUUAAUUAUUUGAUUGAAGCAUCUUUGAAGAAUGAACUUCUCGUCAGUCCGGCCUGUCGUAUACCCACAAAACAAAAACGUCGUGAUCGAUUUCCCGUAAAAGUCGUCUCCUUUGGGAUUCAAAAAUCAGGGUUAGGCGCCUUAAUUAAGACCAUGCAUAUGCAAAGGAUUAAAUGAAAGGUCAAAUCUCAAGACCAGACGUUCAUCCAAUAUUAGCGCUUCUUCUAGCUAGGCUAGGGCCAUCGAUCUCCAUACACAGCUGUACGUACGCGCGCGCCAUGGUGACAUUCACGGCGUGCCGGAGCAAGCCGGAGCUGGUGUUGCCCGCGCGGGCGACGCCACGCGAGGUGAGGUCGCUGUCCGACGUCGACCGCCAGCCAAUACUACGAUCAUACACGACUGUCAUCGAAUUCUUCCGGUGCCUCGUCCCCGGAGGGGCGCCGGCGCAGCCGGCAAGUGCCCUCAAGGCCGGCCUGGCGGAGGCGCUGGUGCACUACUACCCCGUCGCCGGUCGCCUGCGGGAGCUCCCAGUCCCGCACGGGAAGAAGCUGGUGGUGGACUGCACGGCGGAGGGCGUGGUGUUCGUGGAGGCGCACGCCAACGUGCGGUUGGAGGAGUUCGCCAUGCCGCUGGUGCCACCGUACCCCUGCGUCGACGAGCUCGUGUGCGACGUGGGCGACGCUGGAGCUAUCGUCGGCAAGCCCUUGCUCUACUUGCAGGUAUUCGUCCGAGUUCAUCUUCUAGGAGUACAUGCGUACGUGCAUGCAUAUGCAUGAUUGCAGAUGAUGAACAGACAAUUCAUUUCUUGGAGAUGUAGAUGACGCAGCUUCGAUGCGGAGGCAUCGUCCUGGCGUUGACAAUGUGCCACAGCGUCGUGGAUGCCUUCGGUUUGGUCCAGAUCUUCAGAUGCAUCCUUGACCUUGCACGGGGUGAAGCACAGCCCGCCGUAUUGCCUUCGUGGGAGAGGCACCUUCUCACAUCUUCCUUCUCACCGGAGGCUGCCGCCAUGGCUGAGGAGGCAGCCCACGACGACUCCUCCGAGGCGCAGACAUCAUCAACGCCGGCACCACCACCACUGCCACUCGAUGAGGAAGAAAUGGUGACCCGAUCAUUCCUAUUCGGCCCAAGGGAGGUAGCCGUUCUAAGGAGCGGCGUGCCAGCGCGCCUCGGCCGAUCCUCCACCGUGUUCGAGCUCAUCACGGCGGCCGUGUGGCGGUGCCGGGCGGCAGCGCUGGAGCACGCGUCCCAUGACCGGGUAAGCGUCUGGUUCCUCUCAAACGCCCGCGGGAGCUGGAAGCGCGACCCGCCGCUCCCGACAGGGUUCUACGGCAACGCGCCCUUCAUCGCGAGGGCGGAGGCCGCCGCCGGCGAGCUGUGCGACGGUGGUCUCGCGCGCGCGGUCGAGCUCGUCCACGAGGCCAAGCUCCGCGUGACGGACGAACACGUGCGGUCGGUGCUGGACCUCAUGGCAAGGGGCGAGUACCGCGUGGAUCCGGACCUGGACCAGACGUUCCUGGUGUCGGACAUAACCCGCUGCGGGGACGACUCGCUGAACCUAGGUUGCUGGGCGGAGCGCGUCGGCGGCGGUGCGCCGGGCCUGGGUCCCGGCCAUGGCUUUGCCAGGAGCCCUCCGAGUUUUUUUAUGAGCUGUAAGGACGCCAAUGGCGACGUCUGUGUCGUGGUGCCCAUGUGCUUGCCGGAGACGGCGAUGGCGAGGUUCGCGUCUCAGAUCGCCGCCUUGACAAACGUUCCCAUCGCGAGGAGCUCGAUGUAGCUAGGUAGACAUGCAUCUUCCUUCUACGACGGCAAAACGGAGUCUCUUUUAGUUUUGGUAUUUGCCUGUCUGCAGUCUGAUCGAAGGAGCGUUGGUAUCUUGUUUCCAAAUAUCACGUAGUGAUGUUUCGUCGGGUUCUUAUGUAAACAAAUACUUCCUCCGUUCUUUUAUAUAAGGUGUUUUUGCUUUUUUGAUGAAAUUUCGCAAUUUAAGGUUCAUUUCUUGUAAUUCUUCGUAACUCCGUCGUUAGGCCUUAAAAAAAGUAUAUCUUCUCUGAUUGCAUGUAUCCUUCUUUGUAGUGAGAAAAUAAUAAAGAAAAGUAUAUCUUUUUCGGUUGCAUGUAUCUCUUACUUUCCAAACCUAAAUAAUUUAUUUAACGCUAGUAAAUAAUUUAGCCAAGAUUAAUUUUCUCCUAACAUGUGUUUAAUUAAGUGCCUUGAUCAUCGUGCCAAAAACAAUACAUCUUACAUAAAUAAAUGAAGGAAAUAUAUACUCCCUCUGUCCCAAAAUAAGCGUCUCAACUUUGUAUCAAUUUUAGUACAAAGUUAUAAUAAGGUUAAGACACUUAUUUUGAGACGGAGGGAGUACGUUUCAGGUCAUUACUUUAAUGAUCUAAAACGACGUAUAUCUAUUUACAGUUUUGUCUUCAUUCAAAAAGCGUAUUGUAAUUUUUCAUGCUAUAUCCUACAAAAGGGGCGUACAAAUAUCUUGUUCGAUGAAUAGGAUUUGAUUGGAUUUAUAGGUAUGCGGACCUUGUGAUACAAGUAACAACCAUCCAUAUUGUUUGGAAUAACAAAGCACCAUAUAUCGGUGAGUACAAUUGGGGGUCCAACAACUUGGAUAUGAAGCCGCUAGGUUUCGAGGUGCCCGAUCUAGACAAAUGUCUUAAAUCUAAUUUACCAUCUUUGUCGUUGAAGUAGAAGUUGUCCCCCCCCCCCCCCCCCAAAAAAANNNNNNNNNNNNNNNNNNNNNNNNNNNNNNNNNNNNNNNNNNNNNNNNNNNNNNNNNNNNNNNNNNNNNNNNNNNNNNNNNNNNNNNNNNNNNNNNNNNNNNNNNNNNNNNNNNNNNNNNNNNNNNUGGGUGGGUUUAGUCCAUUUGAACGACCCGAAAUCCUCUUCAGCUAGAGGUCCCACGUAUUCCCUUUUGGGAGCCCGGGGUACCCAUUUGCUACUCUUUGGAAGUUUAUAUAUCAAAUGAUCACAUUCACAUACUUGUCAACUUUGUGUAAUGCAAAUGUUGUUAUUUAGCUCAAACAAAAAGUCAGGCCGUCAUGUCAUAUCAUAUAUCAAAGUGGAGGGGGGGGGGGGGGNNNNNNNNNNNNNNNNNNNNNNNNNNNNNNNNNNNNNNNNNNNNNNNNNNNNNNNNNNNNNNNNNNNNNNNNNNNNNNNNNNNNNNNNNNNNNNNNNNNNNNNNNNNNNNNNNNNNNNNNNNNNNNNNNAAAAAAUGUGGAGAUCUUACAUUAUAUUUAGACGUUAAGCCUCUCAAAUAAUCAUAUAUAUUGCGUUCCACGGCCAACGGAUUUGGAGUGAGAGUAACAUAGCUAGUACUAGCUCCAUUCGGGUUUUCAGGCGUCCUGGGCACCACAUGUCUGUACCAUAUUUACAAUGCCGCUACUCGAUUUGGAGAAAGAGCGGGUAAUCAUGUGAUGCAUGCAACCGAGAGAGAGCGAAUAAUCAAAGGAGAGAGAAAGCACUACUUCUAUUCCCUCCGUUUUUAAAUAUAAAUCUUUUUAAAGAUUUUAUUAUGGACUACAUACAAAACAAAAUAAGUGUAUCUAUACUCUAAAAUAUAUUUAUAUACAUUUGUGUAUAGUUUAUAGUUUUUUUUAAAAGACUUAUAUUUAGAAACGAAAGGAGUAUGCUGCAUGGGAAAACCAAGCGUUCUCAUGCAUACGGUAACUACACGCGAAGGUCAUUGGCUUCUCGCUCUGCUAGAAUAUCUCAGUUCACUUACAUGAGAUCACAAUCAUGAUUUAUUGGUUCCUUGCAAUGAUAGGUAGAAAAAUUGGUGAGUUGACACUCUAUUAAAUAUGGAAAAAAGGGAAGUUGUACUACCUCAAUCCUGUUUUAUUGGUUCCCUGCAUAUUUUAUGACAUAUUUUAUUUUUUUUCUGUAAAUUAAGUGUGGCUUGUAAAAUUUUAGCCCAGCAGUUUGGCCUUUUCUCCUGAGAUGCAGUCCAUCGGAUGUAGUUUUUCACUUUCAUUUUUAUCUUGUAAAUAUGUUAUGAACUCUCUCCUAUUCUCCGUUUUAAUGAAAUGGGCGAUGCUCCUGCUUUUCAUGUCAAAACAAUAAAAUUAAUCACGAUUUCUCUAUCGAAAUGUUGCACUAUUUGUAGCCGUUUUGGGGUCUCUAUUUUCUUCUCUUGGUACUUCGGGAUUAGAGUUCUAUAAAAUCCAAUUCAGUUCAGAACUCUAUUUUCUUCCGUUGGUACUCAAGGCAAAGCAAUCCAAUGAAAAAUUUGUAUUGCUUUACUAUCGAAAUCACUAAUUGAGAAGUAUUCCUUUCAAAGAUGACUCCUACCUUUUCAGGUCGUGACAAGUGGGCAUGUGUGCCACUUGUUGCAACCUGAGAGUUUUCUCUUUUUUUAUAGAUCCGUAUUUUCAAAAUGUUUUAUCUCUUAAGCCAUGCGUCGAAAUCUUAAACCGUUUUCACUGUUGGGUUUCUCGCAUCGAGAUCUUCAAACUAGAUCACAUGUUCAUAGGUUUUGACGAACUUUUUUUUCAAUAUAAAAUCAGACAGAAAAACUGUGUCUCUCGCGAUAGAAAAAAAAUAAAAAAGGAGUUUUUCCGUGUUUCCGAGAGACACGGCCAUACUUCUUAUGAAGGCAAAAUCGUGCCUCUCGCGGAAGCAAAACCGUGCCUCCCAUGAAAAAAUAUCCAUUUCCCGGAGGCACAGCCGUGCCUCUCGCGAAAGCAAAACCGUGCCUCUCGGGGAAACAAAACCGUGCAUCUCACAAAAAACAAAUAGAAAACACAAUUUUUUUCCGUUUCUGAGAGGCACUCGUAAAAGCAAAACCAUGUCUCUCGCAAAAAAGCUGAAACACAUUUUUUCCGUUUCCGAGAAGCAAAACCAUGUGUGAUGCGAAAGUGGAACCGUGCCUCUCGCGAAAGCGAAACUAUGCCUCUCGUGAAAAUAAGGAAAAUGCAUUUUUUGACGCAAAUUUUAUUUUUUGGAAUUUUUUUUGUCGAAAAGCUAAGAAAGACAGGUGAAAAACCAACACACACAAAAAAGGAAAAAAAUCAAUUAAAAAGAUGAAAAGACGUGCAGAAAAAAUAAAAUAAAAAUCGAAGAAACGCUCAGAACCUGACAUGUGGCGAUGGCUGAGAACGCGACAAAUGGCAGCGAAAUGGCAGGGCAUGCGAGUGAUCGUUGGGGCUCCCGAUGAAGUGCUCCCUAACUAGUUUACUCUCCUUUAUUGUGAUAUGUGAUCUGCGGUCUCUGAAUGGCUGCAAUAGUAGCAUACUCUGUUAACACAGAUUUUGAGUCUUGCUUAGGUACAACCUUAAACGUAACAAGGGUAUUAUGAAACUUCCAUCAAUCAUACGUAUAUACGCAGUGCUGACCACUCUCAUUGGGAUUCAAAGUACAGACGUCCAAGUCAGCGAUGAGCGCACCUUACCAGUCGGGCUAACAAGCCUUAGUGAAGAUAAUGGAACAUGCACCUUUAGAAGAACUAAAUAGUCCCUCCAUUCCUAAAUAUAAGUAGUUUUAGAGAUUUUAUUAGAAGACUACAUACGGAUGUAUAUAGACAUAUUUUAGACCGUAGAUUCACUCAUUUUUCCCACAAAAAAAGUCGAUACACGGUCAUAUGUCACAACUUGCAUCCGGUGUCAGAAGUCACUCAAAUUAGGCAUGGAUUCUUAACAUGGGCAUUCUCACCUUUUUGCAAAAAUUUGGGUCAGUCCUAAGAUUUCAAAACAAGAAAUGCCAUAUUAAUAGAGAGUGUACGGGUAGACCAGAAGGGUCCAUUACAAAAAUAUUAGAUCAUAUUUUAUGUAAAAUUAACUAAAUGGUUGCGUCUUAAAAGCUAUCCAUCCACCUCUCAUUAAAUAGGCAAAUUAUUACCGAAUCAGGAGGAGACAGAUCAAAUUUCAACUAUAACUCCUUCAUAAUAUGCUCAUUAUUAUUUUAAAAACUAUAUCCAGGUGCAUAAGUAGUCAUUUCAUCAGAGAUCAUGAGAGGAGAAUCCUAUUCGGCAUGUGGGUAGCUGGUUAUCGACUGCGCGCGUACCCCCUUACAUGCCGGUCUUUCUAUCGGCCAACCCAUUUUCGGGAUUUGCCCCAACCUGAAUUUUCUGAACCAGAUUUUUAUGUUUAUUUUUUCUUUAUUUUUUCCUCUGUUUUUUGUUUUUCCCUCUCUUUUACAUUACUUUAUCUGUUUUCUUUUUCUUUUACUCCGUUCUUUUAUAUUUUCUUUCUUUAUUUUCAUUCUUAUUUUUUCAAUUUGCGAAAAUGUUAUAAAUUCAUGGAUAUUUUGAAAUCAUGAACAGUUAGAUCUACUUUUUACAAAUUCCUUAACGUUCUCUUAAAUCAUCAAUACUUUUUGAAGUCAUGAACUUUUUAAAAUUCAUGAACAUUUUUAAAAUUCAUGAACUAUAUUUCGAAAUUGAGAACAUUAGUUUUACAAAUUUAUUAAAAUACUCUUAAAUCCUGAACAUUUUUCAAAUUCAUGAACAUUUUUCAAUUGUGAAUAUUGUUUGAAAAUAUUUUUUAAAUUCAUGAACAGUUAUGGAUUUUUUUUAACUUGUGAACAUUUUGAAACUUCAUGACAUUUUUUGUAAAUCUUGACCAUUUUUUAAAUUGACAUACAUUUUGGAUGUCGUGAACAAUUAUUAAAUUGGUGAUCUUUUUUCAGAAAUUCAUUAAAAUUCUUAAACUGUGAACAUUUUUUGAAUUCUCAGUUUUUUUGAAAUGAUGAACUUCUUUGAAUUCAUGAACAUAUGUUUUCAAAAUUUGCAAUCUUUUUUUUUAAUUUAGAACUUUUUGAUGUCCUGGAUUAUUUAAAAUCCCGGCCCAGACGUGGGAUAAAUGUGGCACAAGUCAACCAUUUGGUCUAGCCCCACACGUUUCUGAAAAAGGGCUUUGGCCAAAAUGGACUGUGAGACUACAAUACUAAUUCUUCUUAUAAGGUAACACAUUACUUAGAAUUGUGAAGUGGUUACGACUUGCAAGCCCCUAGUUGAGGGCGUGGGUUUGAUCCCCCUCUGAGCAGAUUUAUUUUAUAGUUUGCUAGUUCACUUGCGCCGGGCCUUGCAUGUGGGACCCGCUUGUCAGGAUACGUGCACAGCGCCCUUUUUUUGUGGGGUACGUACCCCAGUGGCCUGGGUGGGUGAAAAGUUUUAAAAAUAUGACCAUCAUACACUUUGUUAUGAACGUGUGUGAUUUGAUCUCGGACAUCGAUGUGCUUAGGAUAUCCCUAAAAAAAGCAAUAUGUUUAUGGUGGUUGUACCGAAGUAGAAGUGACAAAUUUCGGCCCAACUGUUUUAUACCUGGCCAAUGUACACAACGAUAACCUGAAAUGAUUAACAGACUUCAGACCAACUUGAGUGUCUCUUGGAUCAGAGAGGUCGAGUUACAUGGUUCCAUAAUACAUUGUAAACUGGCAUUCAGAAACCGAGGUAAAUACACUGGUUCGCAUAGCUAGGCCUAGUGAGGUUGCUCAAAUCUCUCCCUAAUAAUAAAUUAAAUAGGGUUUCUGAUGGCAUUUUUACGAAAAAGUCCCUCAGUUUUCAGUUAAUCAACCUGCACUCCUUUCUUAAGUGGAAAAAAAACGUUUCGUCCCGGCCGCCCCUCCCCCUCCUCCUCCUCUCGGCCGCCCAUCCUCCUCCUCCUCCCUCCCUCCCCCCUCNNNNNNNNNNNNNNNNNNNNNNNNNNNNNNNNNNNNNNNNNNNNNNNNNNNNNNNNNNNNNNNNNNNNNNNNNNNNNNNNNNNNNNNNNNNNNNNNNNNNAUCAUCUCAUCAAAGUGUAUAUUCCAACUCCGAGAUGCUUGCACGAGUCCAUUGAAGGAUCACUGGAGCUUGCAUACUUGCUAGUAUCUUCAGGAUCGACAAAACCUCCUGGUUGUAUCACAUACAAUGUUUGCUCAAGGAAACCGUCGAGGAAACAAUGUUUUGACAUCCUAUGUGCAAUAUUUCAUAAAUAAUGCAACAACUACUAACAUAAUUCUAACAGACUUUUAGCAUCGCUACGAGUGAGAAAGUCUCAUCAUAGUCAACUGUUUGAUCUUGUCGGAAACAUCUUUGCGACAAGUCGAGCUUUUCUUAAUAGUGACUUAUCACCAUCAUCGUCUUUCUUCCUUUCAAAGAUCCAUCUUUACUCAAUAGUCUUAUGAUCAUCAAGUAGUUCUUCCAAAGUCUACACUUUGUUUUCAUACAUGGAUCCUCUCUCGGAUUUCAUGGCUUCCAGCCAUUUGUCGGAAUCCGGGCCCACCAUUGCUUUCUCCAUAACUCGUAGGUUCACUAUUGCUCAACAACAUGACCUCCAAGACAGGGUUACUGUACCACUCUGCAGUAGUACGCGACCUUGUCAACCUACGAGGUUUGUAGUAACUUGAUCUGAUGCUCGAUGAUCACCAUCAUCAGCUUUAACUUCAAUUGGUGUAGGCGCCACAGGAACAACUUCCCGCGCCCUGCUAUACACUGGUUGAAGUGAUGGUUCAAUAACCUCAUCAAGUUCUACCACCCUCCCACUCAAUUCUUUCGAGAGAAACCUUUCCUCGAGAAANNNNNNNNNNNNNNNNNNNNNNNNNNNNNNNNNNNNNNNNNNNNNNNNNNNNNNNNNNNNNNNNNNNNNNNNNNNNNNNNNNNNNNNNNNNNNNNNNNNNGAGCCGAGGAGGAAGAAGGCGGCGAAGCGCGGGAGCGGGCGGCGGGUGAAGAAGAGGAACGGGUGCGGGUAGCCCGACUUCCUCGGCGAGGAGGAGGAGGAGGCGGAGGAGGCGUGGCGGAGCGGCGAGGAGGGCGGGGAGGCGGUGGAGAACGGGUGGUGGUGGCGUAGCAGGUGCUGCGCCUUGGCCGGCGAGUGCGGCCCCCGGAUCGACGCCAUCNNNNNNNNNNNNNNNNNNNNNNNNNNNNNNNNNNNNNNNNNNNNNNNNNNNNNNNNNNNNNNNNNNNNNNNNNNNNNNNNNNNNNNNNNNNNNNNNNNNNNNNCGGCCUCUGUUCCUUCCUUGCAAGACCAAGAAACCGCCUUUCCUGUCCUGUCCUGUACUUGCAAGAACUUGAGGGGAGGUCCGGGCGGGAGGGCGGGGGAUAAGAAAGGGGCGAGUUCGGCGGAUGCCGGCCGGCGAGGGUCAAAGGGGGCGGAGCAGCUGGCUGUAGGGGAGUAGGGAUGGAGGAAUGGAAUGGAUGGUGGCGCGAAUGGCGGGGGGAUGUUUUGAGGAGGCGGCCAAUGGAAUGGGAUGGAGCAGGAGGGGAGGUUGGCGUGGUUUGGUGGAGGAAAGUCCGAGGUCGCCGUGGACCAGGCGGGGGAAGAAAAGCGGGGGAGGUUAGGCGGGGCCGAGCAGCGGGGAGGGAGGAGGGAAGGCGAGAGGAAGACGACGCGGCGUGGGGAUGGGGAUGGAGAUGGAAGGAGAGGGGAAGGGAAUGAGGAGAGCUGCAGCAACUGGAUGAGAUCUACGGACACAGGGCUGUAAAUAACAAGCAGGUGUUUAAUAAUUGCUCCACAUAGGAGUACGUACAUACUUACAUACUCCUAUCUCGAAACGGAGUUUCGGUGACGCCGAAAUGCUGGAGCCGUUUCCGGUUUUCUACCGGAAGCUCGGCAGUAGCUUGACUUUACCGUGUUGACAUUUCACCAGCAGUAACUUUUAUAC